rnacentral:rRNA from 1 species
UACGUAGGGGGCAAGCGUUGUCCGGAUUUAUUGGGCGUAAAGAGCGUGUAGGCGGCUUUGCAAGUCCGUUGUGAAAACUCGAGGCUCAACCUCGAGACGCCGGUGGAAACUGCAAAGCUAGAGUCCGGAAGAGGAGAGUGGAAUUCCUGGUGUAGCGGUGAAAUGCGCAGAUAUCAGGAAGAACACCAGUGGCGAAGGCGGCUCACUGGACCGUUGUUGACGCUGAGGUGCGAAAGCGUGGGGAGCAAACAGG